UAGACAUAGUUUACACAGGCUUGUACCAUAGACUACAGGUGCAAGUUAAUAGUAGACAUAGUUUACACAGGCUUGUACCAUAGACUACAGGUGCAAGUUAAUAGUAGACAUAGUUUACACAGGCUUGUACCAUAGACUACAGGUGCAAGUUAAUAGUAGACAUAGUUUACACAGGCUUGUACCAUAGACUACAGGUGCAAGUUAAUAGUAGACAUAGUUUACACAGGCUUGAACCAUAGACUACAGGUGCAAGUUAAUAGUAGACAUAGUUUACACAGGCUUGAACCAUAGACUACAGGUGCAAGUUAAUAGUAGACAUAGUUUACACAGGCU